AUUAAUUUAUUUUUAUCAUGCUUUACUUUCAGAGUUUCUAUAUGCAAAACCAGAAAGUGUGGUGACCCCAAGAACAAAUGAUGAUUUGAAUAGAGCUAUAAGAUGGUUACUUUUUCUUUUGGAUUUGAUCAAACUGAACCAGUUGGCAAAAAUAGAAUAUAGUCAAUGAGAAAAAUGUGUGAUAAAGCAGGAAGGAAAGAGCAGCUCACCAGUAACUGAUGUGAUAAAAAAAUUAGCUUCUGUAUAAGGCAUGAAGCAGAGGAUCCUUUUACUGCAUCUGAAAGAAACAGCAGUUGAGAUAGGAUUCAGGAAGGAUAUCAAGCUGCCCGGAAAAUUUGAUGGUUUAAAUCUUUUGACAAAGUCUUAUCAUUCUCAAAGCACUGAUGGACAAAAAUUCAAUUCAGUUACAACAUAAUUACAGCUAAGGCGUGUAAUGGGAUGGACAUUGUCUAGGACUGAUAAUUCGUGGACAUUUUGAUCUGUUAUUACAAGAAGUUCUUCCUGAGUGAGUUCCAAAGUGUGAUUUCAUGAUAAGACGCGUAAGGGUUUUUAUCCGCAGUCUUGGUUAGCUGCUGUUUGAAAAAAACUAGAUUUUGGGCACAAGUUGUAAUAUUGUUUGCAGAAUUUUAAAUGACGAAUGAAUUAAGAGAAAUAUUGUUUAUGGAAAUUUCUAAAAUUAAUUUGCAAAUAUAAAUAAUUCAAAAUUAAGGAAAACAUCCAGUUGAAAACACAACAUCGAUAAUAUCGUUGAAAUAUGAUCUGUUUGGGCCAUUGAUGUCGUUUUUGAAAAGGCAUAUCAUCUCACAAUGUUACAAGCUUUAAGUGAAGUGAAGUCAGUGAAAAUUUUGCAAAUUAUGAUGUUUUUCUUCUUUUGCUUCAUUGAAGUAUAUUAAUUUAAAGCUAGAGACAAAGCCUAAACAUUUUUUGAACGAUCAUUUUAUGUAAAAGUUUUGGGAAUGGCAACAGACAUUUGUAAAUAAAUAAAAAUCAUAGAAAUGCUGACAAUGCAGUUCCAUGCAGAACUCUGGUUACCAUGGCAACCGAAACGAA
rnacentral:lncRNA from 1 species